AUCCCAAAUAAGCUCUAUCGUGUUUAUUUGAUUCAUGGGAGGCCUACACUAAUUACGGGAGUUCGCUGAUAGCACCUCUCUAUUUCCAGGAGGUGUUUCAAUAGUACCUCACCGUAUAUAC
rnacentral:snoRNA from 1 species